AUGGGCGGGGUGGGAGGAAAAAAAACUGGGGGAGGGGGAGGAGGGCUCAGACGCAGGAGCAGAACCCCGCCUAAGGAGGAAAGGCACCAGGCUCGGAGCGGCCCGCGUACCGGAAGGGAGGUGCGCGCGGCUCUGAGAAGGCGUGGCUGGGGCAGAGGCGCGGCGCUGCAGGGAGUGGUGCGGGCAGAGGGGAGGAAGCGGGGGCGGUGGGCGUGGCUCGGAAGGAGGGGCGUGGCCCUGCAGUCGCCCAGCCUGCGGUCAGCCGCCAGAGCGCCCAGCACAAAGCCGGGAAGGCUGGGGGUCUUCAAAGGUGCAGAGGCCUCGGUCGACCCACUGACGCACACGCCCGGAAAGGACUCACUUGGCACGUCCUGCCUCAGUGCGGUCCAGCCGCUCGAGCUGCCCACGGGAAACCUACCUCAGCCGCCUUUCUCCGCGGAGUCCUGCGUCCACACCGCGGGUGCGGAGGGGCGGACGGCGCCUACCAGCCGCCCGAGCCGCCGCCCUCGGCUCGCGCAGGCGCAGUACGCGCAGGCCGGCCGCGGACGGAGCCCCUCCCUGGGCCUCGCUCCCCACGCCUGCGCAGUCCGUACUCGCCCCUCCGUCCGGGGAAUGGAGCCACCGCCUGCGGCCGCACGCAGGCGCAGUCGCUCAGGCGCGUCUGGGAGAAGGCCCCGGCCCGGGACGAGCGCCCCUCGCAGGCGCGCUUCACGGGUUCGGCUUCCCGCCCGGGCGCGCGCCGAGCCCCUGAACCUCGUGUUCUGCGGUGGGCUCGCAGCGGGGGCCGGGGUGCGGCCCGGGUUGGGGGUUGGGCGGCGGGGCCGGGCCGGUCCUGGGCUGGGGAGCAGAAAGCCACUGUGAGUGACAGAAAUGGCCGAUGCUGAGGCCGGACCUCCGUUCUCCCGCUUCUCUGCAACAGUGCGGUUCACCUUCCCAUCUCCGCUGUGAAGUGCGAGCCGUCUGUCUUUUCACUUGACGAAUGGAGACAGCGGUUAAGCUUUCGUCUCACCAGGAGGAAGUUUGAGAGUGAAAGGGAAAUUGGAUGACCUCAGAGCCCUUGACUGCGGGUGGCCUCAGCCUGGGCAGGACGCGGUCGUCGCAACUGCGCAGACCAGCCCCGGGAUGGGUUGUCCGGGGCGCCGGGGGUCGGGAGGUGAUUGAUGUGGGUGCGGGGAUCCGCUUUAAAAGAGGAAAAGAGGGCGCCUGGGUGGCUCAGUGGGUUAAGCUUGGACUGGAUCUCCGCCCUGGUUUCAGCCUAGAGCCCUGACAUUGAGCCCGCGUUGGGCUCCGUGCUGGGCGUGGAACCCGCUUGGAGACGCGGAAGAUGGCAGGAGGGAGGUGGGUGUUGGCAAUGGUUGCGUUCAAUACCACUGGUCUGUGCAUUCAUAAACAGCGCAGGUGGUAAAGUUAGUGUGUAUUUGACCACGAUAAAAAAAGGAGCAGGAAAACAAAUCAUCAAUAUGAGGAAAGGAAAAGGAAUUCAAUACAGGUUCUGUAGAUUUUAAAAAGAUAAUAAACUGAUAAUAUGAAACAAUGUCAAAAAUUUGACAAAUCACAUAAANGUGAGAUUGAGCCCGCGUUGGGCUCCGUGCUGGGCAUGGAACCCGCUUGGAGACGCGGAAGAUGGCAGGAGGGAGGUGGGUGUUGGCAAUGGUUGCAUUCAAUACCACNAAUAAUUUAAAAUCUUCUUACAAAGGGUACUUCAGGCCCAGAUGGCUUCACUAGUAAAUGCUUCCAAUCAUACAAGAAGAAAAUGAUACCAGUGUUACACAAAUUCUUCCCUAAAAUAAAGAAAAGUGCAAUACUUCCUAACGGGUUCUACGAGACCAGCAUAACUCUGCUAUAAAAUGUUAGCAUAAACAAUCCAGGGGAAGAUAAAAUGAUUACAUAUCAUGACCAAGUGUGGUUUACUCUAGGAAUGAAAGAUGGUUUAAAAUUUAAGAAUCAAUAUUUCCACAUUUCAGANUAUAAUUUAAAAUCUUACAAAGGGUACUCCAGGCCCAGAUGGCUUCACUAGUAAAUGCUUCCAAUCAUACAAGAAGAAAAUGAUACCAGUGUUACACAAAUUCUUCCCUAAAAUAAAGAAAAGUGCAAUACUUCCUAACGGGUUCUACGAGACCAGCAUAACUCUGCUAUAAAAUGUUAGCAUAAACAAUCCAGGGGAAGAUAAAAUGAUUACAUAUCAUGACCAAGUGUGGUUUACGCUAGGAAUGAAAGAUGGUUUAAAAUUUAAGAAUCAAUAUUUCCACAUUUCAGAUUAUAGGAUAAAAACCAUACGAACAUCUACAUAGGUGCCGGAAAAAACAUUUCAUAAGACUCAACACCCACUAAAUUCACAAAACUAGAAAUAAAAAAGAAAGGACUAUCUUAAUCUUAGAUAUCUAUAAAAAAUAACAACAAAAUAGUGGGUGCUUUUCUCCUGGGUUCAGGAAGAAGAGAAGGAUGUCCUCCAUAACUUCUAUUUAGCACUGUAGGGGUGAUCUUACCCCAAUGCAAGAAGGCCAAAGAAAGGCAAUGUAAAGACUCAAAGGAAAAAGUAAAAUUCAUUAUUCGCAGAUGGCAUGAUUGUGUUUGCAGAUAAUCCAAAAUAAUCUACAAAUAAAGUACUAUAAUAAGUGAUAUCCUCGUCUCUGGUUGAAGGGCCAAUACAGUAGCAAUCGACAGAAAUUGCAAUCUAAAAAUUCCAUGUACAAAAGCACCAAGUAACAUCAGAUUUUUAGCAAGAAUUAUCAAGAGAAAAAAAUGUAAAAAGAAAACUCUCAAUAUUAGAAACGCAAAGGGGGUCCUUUAACCAAUGUUAAAAGGAUAAAUAGGGGGUGCCUGGCUGGCUUGGUCAGAGGGGCAUGGGACUCUAGAUCUUAGGGCUGUGAGUUCAAGCCAUGCAUUGGGUGUAGAGAUUAUAAAUAAAUAAACUUAAAAAAAAAAGUUAAGUAGAAGACCAUGACCAACGUUUUGCCAACACGUUUGAUAAUUUGUAUGAAAUGGACAAACUCCUUUAAAGGCAUUACUUAUCAAAAGUGACACAAAAGAAAAGGAAAAUAUAUAUAAUAAAUUAAAUGUGUUAUCAAAAAACCUUCCCACG
ensembl:lncRNA